GCCUCGGUGGUGUAAUGGUAAGCACGGCAGGCCGGAUAUCUGUAAGUGUGGGUACGAGUCCCGCCUGAGGUU
rfam:Dictyocaulus viviparus strain HannoverDv2000 D_viviparus-1.0_Cont1373.1, whole genome shotgun sequence.